rnacentral:lncRNA from 1 species
GAAAUGUAAAUAAAGAAAAUAUCUAAUACAAAAAAUGAAAUAACAGUUUUACCUAAGUUAUGUAAAUUUAACAAGGGACCAUGGAGGCAAUAAAGAAUGCUUGUUCUUGCCAAGAAAAAAUAAAAAAGAAGGAAACUGAGUGCUUAGAUAAAUUAAUGUUACACUAGAUAUGUUUGUGAACAUCAGCUCAGCCUUACACCCAUUAAAUUACCAUUAUCUCUGUUUUGUGUGUGAUUGAGCCUAGAGUACAAAUGUUUUGUAAAAUUGUGAUCCCCGACUACCAAAUUACAGAUAUGGGGUCAAAACAGAAAUAGUAAAACUCCAAAGGUCCCCAAUCCCAACAGCCACCCAAAGAAACUGUUAAGAAUGGCAAUCCCAGCACCUCACCCUGAGGGUGAGCACACAGGGGACAGUAUGGGUGUUCUAGUGAGUUACCCAUAAUGCCAAGGUUCCCUGAAUGGUAAGAACCACUGCUCCACCCACUUCUUCAAUACAUUUCCCUUUCACGCUCCUUUCCUCAGUCGAGGCCCUCCAAGCCUCCAUUUCUUUGUGUUUGUAAGUACAUGUUGCUGUGGGAGUGUGCUUGUGUAUAUGUACAGUGUGUGUGUGACAGUUGUGUGUUGCUGUGGGGUGUGCUUGUGUAUAUGUAGUGUGCAUGUGUAUAUUACAGUGUGUGUGGCAGUUGUGUGUUGCUGUGGGGGUGUGCUUGUGUAUAUGUACAGUGUGUGUGUGACAGUUGUGUGUUGCUGUGGGGGUG